rnacentral:rRNA from 1 species
ACUCCUACGGGAGGCAGCAGUGGGGAAUAUUGCACAAUGGGCGCAAGCCUGAUGCAGCCAUGCCGCGUGUAUGAAGAAGGCCUUCGGGUUGUAAAGUACUUUCAGCAGUGAGGAAGGUGGAUAUGUUAAUAGCAUAUUCAUUUGACGUUAGCUGCAGAAGAAGCACCGGCUAACUCCGUGCCAGCAGCCGCGGUAAUACGGAGGGUGCGAGCGUUAAUCGGAAUUACUGGGCGUAAAGCGCAUGCAGGUGGUUUGUUAAGUCAGAUGUGAAAGCCCGGGGCUCAACCUCGGAAUUGCAUUUGAAACUGGCAAACUAGAGUACUGUAGAGGGGGUAGAA